rnacentral:sRNA from 1 species
AAACGAAAGAGGCCAAGUAGCGCUCCGCCCUGACACGCCGGCUCCGGUGGGCUCCAGCCGGCUACGCCGCGGCGGACAACGAUGCUGAAGGCCAAGAUCCUCUUCGUGGGGCCUUGCGAGAGUGGAAAAACUGUUUUGGCCAACUUUCUGACAGAAUCUUCUGACGUCACUGAAUACAGCCCAACCCAAGGAGUGAGGUGAGCCCUGACAAAUCUGUGUCCCAAAGAGUGUCCAACUGGCUGGGCAGGGAGGCUCAUUCCUCUAAUCCCAGAGCUCUGGGAGGUCAAAGCGGGAGGAUCUCCUGAGGCCUGGGCAAUAUAGGGAGACCCCGUCUCAACUAAAAAUAAAACAUUAGCCAGGUGUGUUGGCAUGUGUCUGUAGUCUCAGCUACAGGGUAGGUUGAAGCAGAAGGAUCAUUUGAGGCCAGGAGUUGGAGGCUGCAGUGAGCUAUGAUUGUGCCACUGCACUCCAGCCUGGGUGACAGAGUGAGACCCUGUCUCAAAACAAAAUUAAUAAUAAAACAAUUUUAAAAGACUGCCCAACCAUCACCCACCUCCUACUUUUGUUGCUGUUGGCAUUCCAAAAGUGUAAUGCAGCCUCAUUAUUGGUGCUGCUACUGUUCUUUUUUUUUUUGAGAUGGAGUCUCAUCCUGUCGCCGAGGCUGGAGUGCAGUGGCACGAUCUGGGUUCACUGCAACCUCCGCCUCCCAGGUUCAAGCGAUUCUCCUGCCUCAGCCUCCCCAGUGGCUGAGAUUACAGGUGCACACCAUCAUGCCCGGCUAAUUCUUUUAUUUUUAGUGUAGCAAGGGUUUCACCAUGUUGGCCAGGCUGGUCUCGAACUCCUGACCUCAAGUGAUCUGCCCGCCUUGGCCUCCCAGACUGCUGAGAUUACAGGCGUGAGCCACUGCACCCAGCCUACUGCUCUUCUUUUUCCUUUUAGGAUCCUAGAAUUUGAGAACCCGCAUGUUACCAGCAACAACAAAGGCACGGGCUGUGAAUUCGAGCUAUGGGACUGUGGUGGCGAUGCUAAGUUCGAGUCCUGCUGGCCAGCCCUGAUGAAGGAUGCUCAUGGAGUGGUGAUCGUCUUCAAUGCUGACAUCCCAAGCCACAGGAAGGAAAUGGAGAUGUGGUAUUCCUGCUUUGUCCAACAGCCGUCCUUACAGGACACACAGUGUAUGCUAAUUGCACACCACAAACCAGGCUCUGGAGAUGAUAAAGGAAGCCUGUCUUUGUCGCCACCCUUGAACAAGCUGAAGCUGGUGCACUCAAACCUGGAAGAUGACCCUGAGGAGAUCCGGAUGGAAUUCAUAAAGUAUUUAAAAAGCAUAAUCAACUCCAUGUCUGAGAGCAGAGACAGGGAGGAGAUGUCAAUUAUGACCUAGCCAGCCUUCACCUGGGACUGCCACAUCCCCAGUGAAAUCAGCAUGUUUCUCGGUGCAGAUCUGAAAUCACAUCCAGCUCCUGAUGUUUUCUUCUCCCUCUGACUGCAGAGGAAGUGUUCCUACCUGCAGGAAGGCACCUGUCACGCAGGGCGUUCACUCAGACCAUCUGUGCUCUGUCCUGAGUUCAGUUGAGAAAAUCCUAUUAUCAAAUUUGGAUUUCCUGGCCCCAGAACUUCCCAAAGACCUGUAAAAUGGAGGGAUUUACCGCCUCACAUAUGUCCAGUUAUACAGUUUGUGGAAUUGUAACCGUCGCAGCCCAAUGAUACAACAGUAGUUUAAUCGUG